UACGGAGGAUGCAAGCGUUAUCCGGAUUUAUUGGGUUUAAAGGGUGCGUAGGCGGGAUUAUAAGUCAGCGGUGAAAGUUUGAGGCUCAACCUUAAAAUUGCCGUUGAAACUGUUUUUCUUGAGUAUAUUUGAAGUAGGCGGAAUUCGUGGUGUAGCGGUGAAAUGCAUAGAUAUCACGAAGAACUCCAAUUGCGAAGGCAGCUUACUAAACUAUAACUGACGCUGAAGCACGAAAGCGUGGGUAUCAAACAGG
rnacentral:rRNA from 3 species